CUCAGCUUUUGCUAAAAAUCUUCUUCUAACAAAAAUACACCCUACUUGAUGUCUUUGCCCUUCCUCAGAGCCUUCAUGGACAGAUCCAGCGUGGAUUAUUUAUCUCUCACCUGUGUUUCCAGAUUCUUCCGGGUGAGGAGAUGUCAAAAUCAAGAAGCUCCCAAAAAAUGCAAAGUGAAUAGUUG
rnacentral:lncRNA from 1 species